GAGUUUGCACAGGAAGACAUAUUUGCCAUAGCACGCCUGCUGAAGUCGAAGCUGAAACAUUUUUGCAUUCCGCAGUGCUGUAUCGCCACGACUCAGGAAGAUGGCGUCAUUGAAAUAGGUCGGCCGAUCGCGAACCUCAGCGAGACGGUGUCUCAGAGCCUCGGCUACGCGUGGAAGCCCAUGACGAACGAGGAACUACACCCGUCGCUGUUCCGCGAACACGCCUGCGAGCGCGAAGAGUUCGUCUCGGCCGCUGCAUACGCGCACGUGCUCCUGGAGGGGGCGCUGUGACGCGCCGCUCCCCGCCAGAGGGCGCCGUGAUGCGUCAUUCCACUACAGGGCACUGUAAUGCACUGCUCCACUAGAGGGCACUGUACAUGUGAUGCAUCACACCACUAGAAGGCACUGUGAUCCAGCACACCACUAGAGCAUGCUAGGAUGCACGUAUACUAGAUAUAGAGCUGGGGUGUGCAUCUAUACCAGUGAGAGUAGUAUGCGUACGCACCCUACCUACUAGAGAAGCACUUUGGUGUAUCCGUUCUCGUGUUCCCGUAAUACUCAUGGCAGGUGUGUCAUCCAGUGAUAAAAAAUUAUGUAUUGAAACGGAUUGUAUUUACGUUAUCUGCUAAAAGUGUAUAUAGAUCGCCGAUGGCUCUAGAAUGUUUUCUGCUCGAAUCUAGAGGUGCUUUGUUGCUGGACUUUUUUGUGAGAUUUUUGCAGAAAACUUCCGACCAGGGGGAAAAUUGCUUUCUGCGCGUUAUGAAUGCUUGCUUAUAUUAUGCAUUUCUUCGAGUAACAACACAUUAUUGCCUCAAAGAAAUGCAGGUGUCGUCCCCACGUGUCAACCCAUAGCUUUAUAAGUGAGUGUUUGCACCAUGUUCAUUGUAGGCACUCCCACAACUAAGUCAAACACGUUGUAGUCUAUAUAACAAUGCUCAUGUUUUGCGUAAGUAUAGUAAAUUCAAGUUUUAUUUUUUAAAUGUUUUACGAUUUCAUUAUUUCUCGGGAAAUCAGUUUGGUCUGUGAGCUUGUUCGCACUACCUUGUAAAUGGUUGGCUCAUGGUUGUAAGCCAACAUGGUCAGACUGUUCCAUCCCUAUUUUGCAGAUAUUUACAGACCGGUAUUGUAAAUAGAAAGUAAUAUCGAAACAGUUCAUUACUUGUCUGUUUGAAAAUGAAGUAAUGUUGAACUGCCAUGUGUAUGUUCACAAAAAUGUGAUAAAUUGCGCUAUUGAUAUUAUAGCUGCAAGUCGAUAUAUACGUGAGCUACAUGUACUUGUCAUCUCAUAGAAUGAACGAAGCUGGUAAUGAAAGAAAAACUGAUGUAAUUAGCAAAGUAGAUCAUAAUAAUUAAAGUGACUUUAUUGUUUAUUACAUAUAUUUCACAAAACAGUUGGAUAAAUAAUGCUAUGUGGUUAGUAUAUUUAAGUAGCCCUCCACUUGGCGUUUACUUCGUCUGCUGGGUUGUAUUAUAUGAAGUCGUUCUAUAGCCAUGUGUCGAAAAUGUUGUAUGGCCACUUGUUUGAUAUUAACGAAUGGUGAAUCUAUAUUACCAACAUUAAUUAGGUUACAUUUUCCGUUAAGCUAAUCCAUUCUACUACGGUGAAAUCUUGGUAAAAACAAGGACCAGAGAAUUCUGUUUUGCAUGUCUUCUCACUGAAACGUGACUCGUAUGUCUAACGCCGCAUUGUUCGUGUCUUCAAACGAUUGUCGGAAUAGUUGCGUGUGCUGCCACGCGAGGUCGCCACUGCCGCCGCUGAGCCGCGCUGUGAGAGUCACGGACGUGCUGCCCUUGAAUUCGUCCUUGAAUGUGAUUGGUUCACUGCCUGGAAUGUUGAUUAGUUCAACUUUAAUUUGAAUUUGAAAUUUGAACUAACAGCUGCAUGCUUUUGUGCGAGAGAAUCGUGAAUACGUGUUUAAUAAAUAAUGACUUUUGUCUGAAACUUCUGACCGAG